rnacentral:rRNA from 1 species
UACGGAGGGUGCAAGCGUUAUCCGGAUUCACUGGGUUUAAAGGGUGCGUAGGUGGGCUGGUAAGUCAGUGGUGAAAUCUCCAGGCUUAACUUGGAAACUGCCAUUGAUACUAUUAGUCUUGAAUACCGUGGAGGUCAGCGGAAUAUGUCAUGUAGCGGUGAAAUGCUUAGAUAUGACAUAGAACACCAAUUGCGAAGGCAGCUUACUACAGGAAUAUUGACACUGAGGCACGAAAGCGUGGGGAUCAAACAGG